GAGUUUAAUCAUGGCUCAGAUUGAACGCUGGCGGCAUGCCUUACACAUGCAAGUCGAACGCGAAAGCGGGGCAACCCGCAAGUAGAGUGGCGAACGGGUGAGUAAUACAUCGGAACAUAUCCAGUAGCGGGGGAUAACCUGUCGAAAGAUAGGCUAAUACCGCAUACGCCCUACGGGGGAAAGCGGGGGUCGCAAGACCUCGCACUAUUGGAGUGGCCGAUGUCGGAUUAGCUAGUUGGCGGGGUAAAAGCCCACCAAGGCGACGAUCCGUAGCUGGUCUGAGAGGACGACCAGCCACACUGGAACUGAGACACGGUCCAGACUCCUACGGGAGGCAGCAGUGGGGAAUUUUGGACAAUGGGCGCAAGCCUGAUCCAGCCAUGCCGCGUGAGUGAAGAAGGCC
rnacentral:rRNA from 1 species